ACUGCGCCUGGGAGCUUGUGUCCGAUUCCGGGAGGUAGCCGUGUCCGAGUGCGUGGUUGUACAUUUCCGAAGGUCUCAGUUUCUCUCACUUUCAGCCCGCGAGUUCCUUCGCUUCUCCUUUAGCAGGGUUAUCAAUGCUGGGAAGAGCACACACAAUGAAGACCAAGCCAGCUGUGAGGUGCUUACUGUGAAGAAGAAGGCAGGGGCCAUGACCUCCACCCCAAACAGGAACUCAUCCAAGAGACGGUCCUCCCUUCCCAAUGGGGAGGGGCUGCAGCUGAAGGAGAAUUCGGAAUCCGAGGGUGUUUCCUGCCACUAUUGGUCGCUGUUUGACGGGCACGCGGGCUCCGGGGCCGCGGUGGUGGCGUCACGCCUGCUGCAGCACCACAUCACGGAGCAGCUGCAGGACAUCGUGGACAUCCUGAAGAACUCCGCCGUCCUGCCCCCCACCUGCCUGGGGGAGGAGCCUGAGAACACGCCUGCCAACAGCCGGACUCUGACCCGGGCAGCCUCCCUGCGCGG
rnacentral:sRNA from 1 species